CAGUCGCCACGGGAAUACGUAGGGUGCGAGCGUUAAUCGGAAUUACUGGGCGUAAAGCGUGCGCAGGCGGUUGUGUAAGACAGGUGUGAAAUCCCCGGGCUUAACCUGGGAACUGCGCUUGUGACUGCACAGCUAGAGUAUGGCAGAGGGGGGUGGAAUUCCACGUGUAGCAGUGAAAUGCGUAGAGAUGUGGAGGAACACCGAUGGCGAAGGCAGCCCCCUGGGCCAAUACUGACGCUCAUGCACGAAAGCGUGGGGAGCAAACAGGAUUAGAUAACCGGGUAGUCCCUGUCUCUUAUAC
rnacentral:rRNA from 1 species